GGGGUUGUGGCUUAGCGGCAGAGCGCUCACCUAGCAAGUGUGAGGCCCUGGGUUCAAUCCUCAGCACCACA
rnacentral:tRNA from 1 species